rnacentral:rRNA from 1 species
UACGUAGGGACCGAGCGUUGUCCGGAAUCAUUGGGCGUAAAGAGCGUGUAGGCGGCCACUUAAGUCCUGCGUGAAAUCUUGCGGCUCAACCGCAAGCGGUCGUGGGAAACUGGUGGCUAGAGUGCGGGAGAGGAGAGUGGAAUUCCUGGUGUAGCGGUGGAAUGCGCAGAUAUCGGGAGGAACACCGGUGGCGAAGGCGGUUCUCUGGGCCUGUACUGACGCUGAGGAGCGAAAGCGUGGGAGCGAACAGG